rnacentral:tRNA from 1 species
GGGGGAUACCAGAGUGGCCAAAUGGGACGGACUGUAAAUCCGUUGAGAAAUCUUCGAAGGUUCGAAUCCUUCUCCCCCA